rnacentral:ncRNA from 2 species
ACUGUGGAGUAUCAUAUCAAAUGCGAGUAGCUUUUAUGGCAAAAGCAGAUACGUUGAAACAGUAA